rnacentral:misc_RNA from 1 species
AAAGUUCUAAAGAAAUUAUGGUGGUUUUAGCUUAAACCUAGAUUCCUAUUAAAUAGAACCGGAAAUACUACACACAUGAAUCAAUUAGUUCAACUUAAAAAGUUCACCAAAAUUUUAGCACGAAUAUGGCCUUGUGCUACCUCCUGUUUUCAUGAACAUUUACAAAAGUUAUUCUCACUUUUGUUGAAGCGGCACCACUUCCUAUGUUCAUAUAGGUGAAGUUUCCUUUGUAAUAAUAAUUUUAAACUUCAUUAAGAGUAUAAAUACUCAUCCUCAUUCCAUUAACUUAGUACACUAAGUACGUAAUUACAAAAUUUACUAAUGACUUGUUGUUACCUUUAAACUUUAUUUAGUAAUAA